rnacentral:rRNA from 1 species
UACGGAGGAUCCAAGCGUUAUCCGGAAUCAUUGGGUUUAAAGGGUCCGUAGGCGGUUUGGUAAGUCAGUGGUGAAAGCCCAUCGCUCAACGGUGGAACGGCCAUUGAUACUGCCAGACUUGAAUUAUUAGGAAGUAACUAGAAUAUGUAGUGUAGCGGUGAAAUGCUUAGAGAUUACAUGGAAUACCAAUUGCGAAGGCAGGUUACUACUAAUGGAUUGACGCUGAUGGACGAAAGUGUGGGUAGCGAACAGG